GGACACCAUCCUACAAGGCCUGAAUCCAACUGAAGUGCCGUCCCCAGUUCCCACCCAUUCCUUUGAAGAACUAGGUGGCAUUCAGGUUACUAGCUGCCAGUAGCAAGCUACUUUUUUUUUUUUGGUACCGGGGAUCGAACUCUGGACCUUGUGCUUGCGAGGCAGGGGAUGGCACCACUGAGCUAAAUCCAUGGCCCCGAAAGCUACUUUUAAAGAUAACUAUAAAGGCAGCAGUCAUUUUACUCUGCCAAGUGAUACAGACUAACAUGAGCAAUCACUGGGAAGAUAUAAAUGAGGUCAGGAGUACAGAAGAACGAACACGCCAAACACGCGGUCCACCAUGCUGGGGAGGCUGUGAGUGCUCCGCUAGGGUCAUCUCUCUCUCAGCCUUCCCUGCUGUUGGAUGGAAAUGCCUCUCAGAUAGGCGUUCCUCUUUGCCUUCUGUAUUUGCUUUUCUCUUCAGUAUCAUUUUAUUGCAAAUUGAGAAUAUGAUGAGGCCAUUUGCAAAUACGAUUUCUAAUACAGUGCUGACUCACUGUCCACUGGGCAGAAGUUAACUGCCCUGGUCAGGAGCACUGGCGUUCAGAUUUGUUGUGCUGGCCAGUAAGAAAUGUCCAUCUGGACCUCUGUCUACUGAUCCCUAGAUACCAGUCAUAGGAGGAGAGGAAAGAGUCUGCGGAGAACCGGGAAUGUGACUAACAGACAACUCAUUUUUCUUACUCUGUGUUCCAUGCAACAGUUAUUCGUCUGUUUCCUGGGCAGCCUACACUGAUAACACAUCAAAAUCAAAAGGACAUUCUUCCGGGAAGACAUAGGGGUGAAUGGAGUGAACAGGCAGCACCAGGGCUGUCGACAGAGGCACUUGAGGGGCCUACACAGCUUCCAGACACGCCACCCUGUCUCUCCUCCGCCGCCGUCAGGCCCGGCCGCUCACUGGUCUGCUUCUCUCACACCGGCCUCUCCGCUCGCGUGGUACCCAGCCUGGGGUACAAACAGCCGCCUCCCACUGCCCUGACCUACAGUCUCUUCUCCUUGGAAGAGCUUCUGGUUAGAAUGAACUAUCUUUCUCCAUGUUCUCCCGCACGUCACUUAGGGAUCAGCUUCCUUCCUCUGAACCCUCGGGGCCUGUCCCUGCCAUGCAGCAGGGCCACCUUCCUCUCCUGCUCCCUUCCACCUGGGCCAAGAGCACACACAGAGCAGGCCCUCGGGAGACACUGCUCAGAUGGGGGCUGCUUCCCAACACGGCAUCUCCCAUGGCCACGCACGCUGCUUCCAGGGGUUUUUCAAACAGCUCUACUUCCAGACUUUUCACUGCUUAGCUAAAAAGCAAGUUA
rnacentral:lncRNA from 1 species